GCGUGUGAAAAUAGAACACGGUUUACACCAUCUUACGUAGGCGAUGGUAGGAAUCUUGUGAAUCUAAUCAAUAUCCGUUUGGUUUGUCAGAAUCCCAAAAUUUUCCUGCGAAAAUUAAAUUAUGGGUGCUCUCCUUCAUUUUCCUCCUUGUUUCUCUUUCAACAAGCAGCCCAAGUUACGAUGGGGAGAACCCACUUUCCUUCUCAGAGAGAUUGCAGAUGGGUGUUCUACUCUUCCCUCUCGCAAGGCUGCUUCAUUUCAGUUUACUGUUUCUAGCAGAAGAUCUGAUGGAAACAGAAGAGGCAACCCUUCACAAAAAAAUCCUGCCUCAGAAAGAAAAAAUGAGGGUCAGAAUAAGAAACCAUCCGAGAAUAAAAUAACCAGUUCAUCCAACCAAGAGGAGAUAAUUGCUCUGUUCAAUCGUAUACAGUCUUCAAUUUCGAAGAAAGAGCCAACAAGCAGUAAGGAAAUAAAUCCAAAGCCAUCCGAGAAAAAGCCCUCAGCUGAUUCAGUUUUGGAUCUUCUUCAUCAGUUCAGGAAGGGAAUACCUGACACAAUGACAGAGAAGGCAAGGGAGAAUAAAUUGAAAUGGAGAAGAGCAGUUGCUAAGGAGCAGAAGAUACUGAACAAGGAAACAGCUGUUGAUUUCAGAUUGUUUCGACCGCCAUCUAACUUUGUAAAGAGGUCUCCGAUUCCAUCUCCAUCAGUCCCAAGAGGAAAGAUUCUUGAGAUGAAGAAAGAACCUAAAGAGGAUGCAGCUGCAAUUGAGAAAUUGAAGCUUCCUGAGUUAAAACAAAUAGCCAAGUCUAGAGGAAUCAAAGGUUACUCCAGAUUGAAGAAGAGUGAGCUUGUGAAGCUUCUGAGCUCAUAGUCAGCAGAAUUUUAGUGGCUUUUCUACUUCGAUUAAACAUGGCUCUACAAUUCUUUUUCUGCUCUAUCCCACUGAAGCACCUUUUGUUGCUCUGUUUAACCACUAAGAAUGGCUCUAAAUCAUGGAUGCUAGUGCAGUAAAAGAACUGAGUACCCAACUUUCUGCAUUGUAGGAUUUUCUUUUGUGCAUUGGCUAAUUGCAUAUGCUUACGACUCUAGUCUCUUGUUCUAUCAGCAUUUGCCCCAUGAACCUCACCUAGUUGCCAGCAUAUCCUUUUAAAAAUCGACACAAGAUUUCAUGUCAUGGAAAUUUUUUAAUCAAAAUUUCUUUAACUUUUUAUAAUAUUUGAAAGCAUGGACAAACAAUAUAAUACAUCAAACCAAGAUUCAUAUACAUCAUAAGAUGGAUACAGUAACCUGAUCUUCUAUAUGCCUAUCAUAAGUCUUCUUUCUUAUUGCAGAUCCAUUCGCCCAGGAAUUCAGCAUGUUAGUUUGUGUGUACUCACACGAAUCUAUAGUGUUCAUGUAUUCAGUUAACAUUGUUUUAGUAGUCUCUCUUUCAAGAAUAUUGUGGUUAAAUAUCGAUUAUUGUUCAAAAAAACCAACAUCAAAGGUAGGUAGGUGACUUGUUAAACGCUUGAAAAUAGGUUUAAAAUUGUUGAAAGUUGAGAUUUUUCUAGACACUCUGUUUCUGUCUUACAUUUUUUUCAUUUUCUAUAUGAAUGAUUGUCCUUUUUGGGAUUAUGAUUUUGUAAAGGUUAUUUCAGAUACUAUCGUAGUUCAGCUACUCCCACGUUUUGUACUGCUGUCAACAGUUAUGAUAUGUAUAUAUUUUGCCAAAUGGAAACUGUUUGAAAAUCCAUCAAAUGAUAUCAGAGCUCUCUUCUUGAGGGACUUAUAAGUUAAAGGAAAUUAACGUUGAAGUGCUCGUAAGGUGAGUAAUCAAACACCACAAGAACAAGAAGGAUGGCGUCUACCAGCUCUAUGGGGACUGGUCCUCCUGUUUUUAGAAGGGAAAAUUAUUGCAUCUAGACUAUUAAAAUGAAGAUAUAUUUUGGAAUUUAGAGUUUGUGGGAUGUAGGACAGAAUGAUAUAGAACCACUAGAAAUCACAGCCAUUCUGACGUUGGGCUCAGAUGAAGAAACAUGAAGAGGAUUUUGCAAGAAAACUUAAAGCACUAAUUUGCAUAUGUUCAACCUUAUCAGAUGUUAUUUUCACCAAAAUCAAGAAGUGUGAAACACCCAAGGAGACAUGGGACAAGUUGAAGGCUGAAUUUGAAGACAGUGAGAGAGUAAAGGCCGUCAAACUCUUGACCCUUAAAAGAGAGUUUGAACUGUUUAAGGAUGAAGGAUGAUGAAAACGUGGAGUACUCCUCAAAGUUCCUGGAAUUUGUGAAUAAAAUAAGAUCGUGGGAUAAGAGUGUAAUGAUCAAAAGAUUGGCAAUUGAAGAAUCGUAUGAUCUAAAAGGCCUCUCCGUUGCUGAACUUAUUAGCAAACUGCAGACACAAGAACAAAGGACCAUCAUGAAGGAUGAAGCUGUAUUAGAGGAAGCCAUUCAAUAAGGCAGAAAUAGAAUCCACCUGAAAGACUGGAAGAAACAAAGAGCUGAAAGAGUUGGGAAA